rnacentral:rRNA from 1 species
GACGAACGCUGGCGGCGUGCUUAACACAUGCAAGUCGAACGGAAAGGCCCUUCGGGGUACUCGAGUGGCGAACGGGUGAGUAACACGUGGGUGAUCUGCCCUGCACUUUGGGAUAAGCCUGGGAAACUGGGUCUAAUACCGAAUAGGACCACGCGCUUCAUGGUGUGUGGUGGAAAGCUUUUGCGGUGUGGGAUGGGCCCGCGGCCUAUCAGCUUGUUGGUGGGGUAAUGGCCUACCAAGGCGACGACGGGUAGCCGGCCUGAGAGGGUGACCGGCCACACUGGGACUGAGAUACGGCCCAGACUCCUACGGGAGGCAGCAGUGGGGAAUAUUGCACAAUGGGCGCAAGUCUGAUGCAGCGACGCCGCGUGAGGGAUGACGGCCUUCGGGUUGUAAACCUCUUUCACCAGGGACGAAGCGUAAGUGACGGUACCUGGAGAAGAAGCACCGGCCAACUACGUG